rnacentral:rRNA from 1 species
GACGAACGCUGGCGGCGUGCCUAAUACAUGCAAGUCGAGCGAAGCGGCGGAUGGGUGAGUAACGCGUGGGUAACCUGCCCUUAAGUCUGGGAUUCCAUUUGGUAACAGAUGCUCAUACCGGAUACUAAAGGAUGGACCUGCGAUGCAUUAGCCAGUUGGUAAGGUAACGGCUUACCAAGGCGAUGAUGCAUAGCAGAGUUGAGAGACUGAUCGUCCACAUUGGUACGGAGACACGGCCCAAACUCCGACGGGAGGCAGCAGUAGGGAAUCUUCCACAAUGGACGAAAGUCUGAUGGAGCAACGCCGCGUGAGUGAAGAAGGUUUUCGGAGCGUAAAGCACUGUUGUUGGUGAAGCGGUAAUCAACCAGAAAGUCACGGCUAACUACGUGCCAGCAGCCGCGGUAAUUC